UCAAAACCUUAAAACAUAUUUAAACUAAGGUACAGUAUUAGCAUGGAGGCCUGUCUGCUAGUGAUUCUCAUGACAAUUUCAGGUGUGUUUGCUGCUGACAGCAUUGGACCAAAUGACAAGGAUACUAAUAUGAUCGGAAGAGAAGGAGAGUCUGUGACACUGAGAUGCACAUAUGAUACAAGCAGCAGUUAUGUCUAUCUUUACUGGUUCAGACAGUAUCCUAAUACAGAACCUCAGUAUUUACUGUGGCAAGGGGCUCGAUCAUACGGAGGAGAGGAUAAAACAGACGAACGGUUUCAGCCGACUACAUCCCAAACAUCCACUGAACUCAUUAUUAACAGUGUAACUCUGUCAGAUUCAGCUCUCUAUUAUUGUGCUCUAAGAGUAGCAGCCCAGUGAUACAAAAUGCCUGAG